rnacentral:rRNA from 1 species
GACGAACGCUGGCGGCGCGCCUAACACAUGCAAGUCGAACGAGCGAGAGAGAGCUUGCUUUCUCGAGCGAGUGGCGAACGGGUGAGUAACGCGUGAGGAACCUGCCUCAAAGAGGGGGACAACAGUUGGAAACGACUGCUAAUACCGCAUAAGCCCACGGCUCGGCAUCGAGCAGAGGGAAAAGGAGCAAUCCGCUUUGAGAUGGCCUCGCGUCCGAUUAGCUAGUUGGUGAGGUAACGGCCCACCAAGGCGACGAUCGGUAGCCGGACUGAGAGGUUGAACGGCCACAUUGGGACUGAGACACGGCCCAGACUCCUACGGGAGGCAGCAGUGGGGAAUAUUGCACAAUGGGGGAAAUCCUGAUGCAGCGACGCCGCGUGGAGGAAGAAGGUCUUCGGAUUGUAAACUCCUGUUGUUGAGGAAGAUAAUGACGGUACUCAACAAGGAAGUGACGGCUAACUACGUGCCAGCAGCCGCGGUAAAACGUAGGUCACAAGCGUUGUCCGGAAUUACUGGGUGUAAAGGGAGCGCAGGCGGGAAGACAAGUUGGAAGUGAAAUCCAUGGGCUCAACUUAUGAACUGCUUUCAAAACUGUUUUUCUUGAGUAGUGCAGAGGUAGGCGGAAUUCCCGGUGUAGCGGUGGAAUGCGUAGAUAUCGGGAGGAACACCAGUGGCGAAGGCGGCCUACUGGGCACCAACUGACGCUGAGGCUCGAAAGUGUGGGUAGCAAACAGGAUUAGAUACCCUGGUAGUCCACACUGUAAACGAUGAUUACUAGGUGUUGGAGGAUUGACCCCUUCAGUGCCGCAGUUAACACAAUAAGUA